rnacentral:rRNA from 1 species
GAUGAACGCUGGCGGCGUGCCUAAUACAUGCAAGUCGAGCGAACGGACGAGAAGCUUGCUUCUCUGAUGUUAGCGGCGGACGGGUGAGUAACACGUGGAUAACCUACCUAUAAGACUGGGAUAACUUCGGGAAACCGGAGCUAAUACCGGAUAAUAUUUUGAACCGCAUGGUUCAAAAGUGAAAGACGGUCUUGCUGUCACUUAUAGAUGGAUCCGCGCUGCAUUAGCUAGUUGGUAAGGUAACGGCUUACCAAGGCAACGAUGCAUAGCCGACCUGAGAGGGUGAUCGGCCACACUGGAACUGAGACACGGUCCAGACUCCUACGGGAGGCAGCAGUAGGGAAUCUUCCGCAAUGGGCGAAAGCCUGACGGAGCAACGCCGCGUGAGUGAUGAAGGUCUUCGGAUCGUAAAACUCUGUUAUUAGGGAAGAACAUAUGUGUAAGUAACUGUGCACAUCUUGACGGUACCUAAUCAGAAAGCCACGGCUAACUACGUGCCAGCAGCCGCGGUAAUACGUAGGUGGCAAGCGUUAUCCGGAAUUAUUGGGCGUAAAGCGCGCGUAGGCGGUUUUUUAAGUCUGAUGUGAAAGCCCACGGCUCAACCGUGGAGGGUCAUUGGAAACUGGAAAACUUGAGUGCAGAAGAGGAAAGUGGAAUUCCAUGUGUAGCGGUGAAAUGCGCAGAGAUAUGGAGGAACACCAGUGGCGAAGGCGACUUUCUGGUCUGUAACUGACGCUGAUGUGCGAAAGCGUGGGGAUCAAACAGGAUUAGAUACCCUGGUAGUCCACGCCGUAAACGAUGAGUGCUGAGUGUUAGGGGGUUUCCGCCCCUUAGUGCUGCAGCUAACGCAUUAAGCACUCCGCCUGGGGAGUACGACCGCAAGGUUGAAACUCAAAGGAAUUGACGGGGACCCGCACAAGCGGUGGAGCAUGUGGUUUAAUUCGAAGCAACGCGAAGAACCUUACCAAAUCUUGACAUCCUUUGACAACUCUAGAGAUAGAGCCUUCCCCUUCGGGGGACAAAGUGACAGGUGGUGCAUGGUUGUCGUCAGCUCGUGUCGUGAGAUGUUGGGUUAAGUCCCGCAACGAGCGCAACCCUUAAGCUUAGUUGCCAUCAUUAAGUUGGGCACUCUAAGUUGACUGCCGGUGACAAACCGGAGGAAGGUGGGGAUGACGUCAAAUCAUCAUGCCCCUUAUGAUUUGGGCUACACACGUGCUACAAUGGACAAUACAAAGGGCAGCGAAACCGCGAGGUCAAGCAAAUCCCAUAAAGUUGUUCUCAGUUCGGAUUGUGGUCUGCAACUCGACUACAUGAAGCUGGAAUCGCUAGUAAUCGUAGAUCAGCAUGCUACGGUGAAUACGUUCCCGGGUCU